CCUACGGGUGGCUGCAGUGGGGAAUAUUGCACAAUGGGCGAAAGCCUGAUCCAGCAACGCCGCGUGAAGGAAGACGGCUCUCGGAUUGGUAAACUCCUUUUAUACGGAAGUAAGAAAUGACGCUACUGAAAUUAUAAGCCUCGGCUAACUACGUGCCAGCAGUCGCGGUAAUACGUAGGGGGCAAGCGUUAUCCGGAAUUACUGGGUGUAAAGGGAGAGUAGGCGGCAAGGUAAGCGAUAUGUGAAAGCCAUAAGCUUAACUAAUGGAUUGCAUAACGAACUAUCUGGCUAGAGUACAGGAGAGGAAGGCGGAAUUCGUGGUGUAGCGGUGAAAUGCGUAGAUAUUAGGAAGAACACCGAUGGCGAAGGCAGCUUUCUGGGCUGAGACUGACGCUGAGGCUCGAAAGCGUGGGGAGCGAACAGGAUUAGAUACCCUUGUAGUC
rnacentral:rRNA from 1 species